UCGAACCAACCCAGCUUGAAUACAAACCAUGUUCCCUGCAUCUCUGCUGCUGCUGCUUGUAGCUGCAUCACGUGUGCACUGUGGUCUUGAGCUCACCCAACCAAGCUCAUUGGAUGUAAAGCCUGGAGAGUCUUUGAUUAUCACCUGUAAGGUAUCUGGUUAUUCUCUGACUGAUAGCAGCAACGUCUAUGGAAUAGGCUGGAUCCGUCAGCCUGUAGGAAAAGCACUUGAAUGGAUUUGGACCAUCUAUUAUGUUGGAAGCUCAGACUCUCAAAGUUCCCUAACAGACAGGUUCAGUGUCACAAGAGACACUUCCAGCAACACAGUGUUUUUAAAAGGACAGAAUCUGCAGACUGAAGACACAGCUGUGUAUUAUUGUGCUCGGUGGCCACAGUGAUACAAACCACCAACAGACUAGUACAAAAACCCUAUAUGUGUGUGAUGAAUCAAGUACAAGCACAAACAGUAUGGCACUUAUUAGUAUAAGUAGAGUCAAAAUAAAUAACCAGUGGUGUAAAAUACUUAAGUAAAAAGACUUAACUAGUCUCUUGCGGUAUUUGUACUUUACUAUUUAUACUUUUUACAUCUUAUCAUUUUACAUUCCUAAAUAAAUGUCUGUACUCUU